GUGAUGAUUAACUAGACGGCUGAUGUUUGAAGAACUGACGACGGGCUGA
rnacentral:snoRNA from 1 species